rnacentral:rRNA from 1 species
UACAGAGGGUGCGAGCGUUAAUCGGAAUUACUGGGCGUAAAGCGCACGUAGGCGGCUUGGUAUGUCGGGUGUGAAAUCCCCGGGCUCAACCUGGGAACUGCAUCCGAAACUGCCUUGCUAGAGUAUGGGAGAGGGAAGUGGAAUUUCCGGUGUAGCGGUGAAAUGCGUAGAUAUCGGAAGGAACAUCAGUGGCGAAGGCGGUUCGCCUGGGGCUUUGCUGACGCUGAGGCGCGAAAAGCGUGGGGAGCGAACGA